CAGAAAUUAUUCCAAAAGGCAUUUGAAACUCCAAUGGCGUUAUCUGUUCACCUGAGGGAGAGAAUGAUAGGAUUCCAGCUUGAUCGAAUUCACAUGGUGUUUUUACCUUUAAGCUCAUACGGUUUCUGUACACAGUUGUUGCUAACUUUAGGAAAAAAAUGUUCGAAGUCCUCUGCCCAAACAACAGAACCGACUUGAUUGCUGACGAAGCUCAGCUUGUAAUCAAGAAUUUCAAAGCUUCUUUCAGGCUGGCAUACAACAGAUCACAAGUAAAUGUGACUGACAUGGGCGUGUCUUUCUGGAGUGUGUGCUCUUCAAAAUAAAGAGAGCAUGCAAAGAGCCUGCGCGAGAGUCUAACUUACUACAUGGUCGCUCACCCUUGCAAUGAAAACCUGAUGCCAGAAACCAAACAAAUCUUAAGAAAAUAUGGUGUUCCAUUCGACUACUCGGUACGUGUGACUAAACGAAAAUUUUAUUUCAUUUCCUCUGUCUUUUUUGCAAACAGAUUUAUUUCUCUUUACAGUUUUUCCAAGGUUGUAUGUAUUCCCUGUGAUUUCUAACCUUUUCUUUUUCUUUUCCCAUGAACAUAAAUCUCACAUACUCCAGGGUAUUCUCCAUGGGGUCCUGUUGCACAACAAUGUUAACAACAUCUGGCUGGAAAUAGGUCAAAUUCUUAAGAAUACCACUGCCACCCUGUCUUAGUGUGAGUCGAGGCGGACGUCGUCGCGAGACGCCGAGACGAGCACGUGACACCACCGCCAUCCUGUCUUAGCGUAACGCGAGUCGAGGCGGUAGC